AAAUUAAACGGCCACGGUAUCCUAACCGUGCGAAGGUAGCAUAAUCACUUGUUCUUUAAAUGAGGACUUGUAUCAACGGCACCACGAGGGUUACACUGUCUCCUUUUUCUGAUCAGUAAAACUAAUCUCCCCGUGAAGAAGCGGAGAUAUAAAUAUAAGACGAGAAGACCCCAUGGAGCUUAAAACCCAACUACACCCUUAAUUAUUAUACCUUUAUAACCUCUAAGGCCCUGUAUAACUGGU
rnacentral:rRNA from 1 species